UCUGACCAAGGUUGGAAGCAACACAAACCU
rnacentral:piRNA from 1 species